rnacentral:rRNA from 1 species
AUGGUUACUAGAUUGCAAUUUGCAAAUACUCCUAGUGAUUGUCCCAUAGCUUAUAAUUUGAAACUGAAGAGAAAAACUAAAGUUAACUUACAGCUAGCUGUGUAUGAAACUUGGGCCCAUACGUCACAAUCAUGUGUUCAUUAUACACUAAAAUGUUGGAAAAAUUGCUCUUGUGGUCUCAGCAUUCAUUUUGAAACACUUGCAAACACACAGCCCUCUUCCCUUCACUCUCCAUUUUUAUCUAAAGCCAUGAAACAGAGUCCUUAUAAGCAAGUGGUUAUCUGGUUACAAAUUGGCACAGCAAAACAACAGACACCACAGAACUGA